rnacentral:rRNA from 1 species
CCUACGGGAGGCAGCAGUGGGGAAUUUUGGACAAUGGACGAAAGUCUGAUCCAGCAAUGCCGCGUGCAGGAUGAAGGCCUUCGGGUUGUAAACUGCUUUUGUAUGGAACGAAAAGGUCUGCCCUAAUACGGUGGGCCCAUGACGGUACCGUAAGAAUAAGCACCGGCUAACUACGUGCCAGCAGCCGCGGUAAUACGUAGGGUGCAAGCGUUAAUCGGAAUUACUGGGCGUAAAGCGUGCGCAGGCGGUUAUAUAAGACAGAUGUGAAAUCCCCGGGCUCAACCUGGGACCUGCAUUUGUGACUGUAUAGCUAGAGUACGGUAGAGGGGGAUGGAAUUCCGCGUGUAGCAGUGAAAUGCGUAGAUAUGCGGAGGAACACCGAUGGCGAAGGCAAUCCCCUGGACCUGUACUGACGCUCAUGCACGAAAGCGUGGGGAGCAAACAGGAUUAGAUACCCUGGUAGUCCACGCCCUAAACGAUGUCAACUGGUUGUUGGAUCUUUACUGUAUAUAGUAACGAAGACUACGCGUGAGUAGACCGCCGCGGGAGGUACGGUCCGGCGAGUUAGUUAACGUACGAAGAAGUAGUUGNGNGNGNGCGAGCGACGACGAGGAGAGGNGG